AAUGAACGCUGGCGGCAUGCCUAACACAUGCAAGUCGAACGAGACCUUCGGGUCUAGUGGCGCACGGGUGCGUAACGCGUGGGAAUCUGCCCUUGGGUUCGGAAUAACUCGCCGAAAGGCGUGCUAAUACCGGAUGAUGUCGUAAGACCAAAGAUUUAUCGCCCAAGGAUGAGCCCGCGUAGGAUUAGCUAGUUGGUGAGGUAAAAGCUCACCAAGGCGACGAUCCUUAGCUGGUCCGAGAGGAUGAUCAGCCACACUGGGACUGAGAAACGGGCCAGACUCCUACGGGAGGCAACAGUGGGGAAUAUUGGACAAUGGGCGGAAGCCUGAUCCAGCAAUGGCGCGUGAGUGAUGAAGGCCUUAGGGUUGUAAAGCUCUUUUACCCGGGAUGAUAAUGACAGUACCGGGAGAAUAAGGUCCGGCUAACUUCGUGCCAGCAGCCGCAGUAAAAC
rnacentral:rRNA from 1 species